rnacentral:lncRNA from 10 species
CACGCAUGAGGAGACGUGUAGGGGCCGGGUUCGGCCCUGGUGAACUCUCACCCGAGCGGUUUCUCUUUCCGGGACAACAUGGCGCCGUCCACGCCGCUCUUGACAGUCCGAGGAUCAGAAGGACUGUACAUGGUGAAUGGACCACCACAUUUUACAGAAAGCACAGUGUUUCCAAGGUAUGAUUUAUUUUGUUAAGUAAUGUUAUAGGGAACAUACAGUACAAUCUAAAAUGGUUUUGUUGGUGGUGUAUUUUGAACAAGAAAGGAAAAGAACAGAUGAACUCAUUUUUAUUGUAUAAUAUUUACCGAAGAUGAAAAGAAUACAUAUUCUCUAUCAAGGAAAAUGAUCUUCAGAUCUGAAAAUAGUAACUUAAGCCUAUUUAUAAGGUAGGGGGAACAAUACUAAGAAAAAGUGUAGACACUAGUGUAAUUGAAUACAAGCCUUUAUUUUACAAGAGUUGUAUCUUAAGGAAUGAGAAAAACUUGCAAAUUUGAUAGCCAAAUCAUGGCCAGUAAUCUUAGUGAAAUCAUAAUGAAAAAGAUAUUAAAAAGGGAGGACAUAUAUAUGCACAUAGUAUAUAGCUAGCUAGAUUAAUUUUUUUUUCCCCAAAGAAACAAUGGACAAGUAAACCAAA